rnacentral:rRNA from 1 species
GGAAACGCCCGGCAACAUUCCGAACCCGGAAGCUAAGACUCGCAGCGCCGAUGGUACUGCAAGGGAGACCUUGUGGGAGAGUAGGACACCGCCGGAC